rnacentral:rRNA from 1 species
UACGGAGGUUGCAAGCGUUAUUCGGAAUAAUUGGGCGUAAAGGGCGCGCAGGCGGUCUUUUAAGUGUGAUGUGAAAGCCCAGGGCUCAACCUGGGAAGAGCAUUGCAAACUGGAAGACUAGAGUACUGUAGAGGGAGGUGGAAUUCCAGGUGUAGCGGUGAAAUGCGUAGAGAUAUGGAGGAACACCGAUGGCGAAGGCGGCCUCCUGGGCAGGAACUGACGCUCAUGUGCGAAAGCGUGGGGAGCAAACAGG